GUGCUAUACUGCAAGUAGAACGCUGAAGAGAGGAGCUUGCUCUUCUUGGAUGAGUUGCGAACGGGUGAGUAACGCGUAGGUAACCUGCCUUGUAGCGGGGGAUAACUAUUGGAAACGAUAGCUAAUACCGCAUAACAAUGGAUGACACAUGUCAUUUAUUUGAAAGGGGCAAUUGCUCCACUACAAGAUGGACCUGCGUUGUAUUAGCUAGUAGGUGAGGUAACGGCUCACCUAGGCGACGAUACAUAGCCGACCUGAGAGGGUGAUCGGCCACACUGGGACUGAGACACGGCCCAGACUCCUACGGGAGGCAGCAGUAGGGAAUCUUCGGCAAUGGGGGCAACCCUGACCGAGCAACGCCGCGUGAGUGAAGAAGGUUUUCGGAUCGUAAAGCUCUGUUGUAAGUCAAGAACGAGUGUGAGAGUGGAAAGUUCACACUGUGACGGUAGCUUACCAGAAAGGGACGGCUAACUACGUGCCAGCAGCCGCGGUAAUACGUAGGUCCCGAGCGUUGUCCGGAUUUAUUGGGCGUAAAGCGAGCGCAGGCGGUUUGAUAAGUCUGAAGUUAAAGGCUGUGGCUCAACCAUAGUUCGCUUUGGAAACUGUCAAACUUGAGUGCAGAAGGGGAGAGUGGAAUUCCAUGUGUAGCGGUGAAAUGCGUAGAUAUAUGGAGGAACACCGGUGGCGAAAGCGGCUCUCUGGUCUGUAACUGACGCUGAGGCUCGAAAGCGUGGGGAGCGAACAGGAUUAGAUACCCUGGUAGUCCACGCC
rnacentral:rRNA from 1 species